rnacentral:rRNA from 1 species
AGUGAACGCUGGCGGUAGGCCUAACACAUGCAAGUCGAACGGCAGCACAGUAAGAGCUUGCUGUUACGGGUGGGGGGUGGCGGAUGGGUUAGGAAUACAUCGUAAACUACUUUUUCGGGGGGGAGAACGUAGGUAGACUUAUGCUAAUACGUCAUACUACUAACCGGUGUAAGCAGACGAUCUUUGCAGCUGCUGCUUCUUGAUGGCCCCCUUGCGGAUUAGGUAGUUGGCGGGGUAUAGGACCACCAGGGCGACCAUCUGUAGCUGGUCCGAGAGGAUGAUCAGCCACACUGGAACUGAGACACGGUCCAGACUCCUACGGGAGGCAGCAGUGGGGAAUAUUGGACAAUGGGCGCAAGCCUGAUCCAGCCAUACCGCGUGGGUGAAGAAGGCCUUCGGGUUGUAAAGCCCUUUUGUUGGGAAAGAAAAGCAGCAGGUUAAUCCACCGCUGUUCUGACGGUACCCAAAGAGUAAGCACCGGCUAACUUCGUG